AUGGCUCAGGAUGAACGCUAGCGGCAGGCCUAACACAUGCAAGUCGCGGGGCAGCACGGGUAGCAAUACCUGGUGGCGACCGGCGCACGGGUGCGUAACGCGUAUGCAACCUGCCCCCAUCAGGGGAAUAGCCCGCCGAAAGGCGGAUUAAUGCCCCAUAGGCCCAGGGCGCCGCAUGGCGCUAUGGGUAAAGCUCCGGCGGAUGGGGAUGGGCAUGCGUGCCAUUAGCUAGUUGGGGCGGUAACGGCGCACCAAGGCGACGAUGGCUAGGGGGUCUGAGAGGAUGGUCCCCCACACUGGUACUGAGACACGGACCAGACUCCUACGGGAGGCAGCAGUGAGGAAUAUUGGUCAAUGGGCGGAAGCCUGAACCAGCCCAUGCCGCGUGCAGGAUGACGGCCCUACGGGUUGUAAACUGCUUUUCCCCGGGAAGAAUAAGCCCCUCGUGAGGGGGGAUGCCGGUACCGGGGGAAUAAGGAUCGGCUAACUCCGUGCCAGCCGCCGC
rnacentral:rRNA from 1 species